CCUGACUGCUAUCGGAUUGAUACUAAGCCAUGCGAGUCAUUGUAGUAAUACAAGGCAGACGGCUCAGUAACGCGUAGUCAACCUACCCUAUGGACGGGAAUAACCUCGGGAAACUGAGAAUAAUGCCCGAUAGAACAUUAUGCCUGGAAUGGUUUAUGUUCCAAAUGAUUUAUCGCCAUAGGAUGGGACUGCGGCCUAUCAGUUUGUUGGUGAGGUAAUGGCCCACCAAGACUAUUACAGGUACGGGCUCUGAGAGGAGUAGCCCGGAGAUGGGUACUGAGACACGGACCCAGGCCCUAUGGGGCGCAGCAGGCGAGAAAACUUUGCAAUGUGCGAAAGCACGACAAGGUUAAUCCGAGUGGUUUCUGCUAAAGGAACCUUUUGUCAGUCCUAGAAACACUGGCGAAUAAGGGGUGGGCAAGUUCUGGUGUCAGCCGCCGCGGUAAAACCAGCACCUCAAGUGGUCAGGAUGAUUAUUGGGCCUAAAGCAUCCGUAGCCUGCUUUGUCAGUUUUCGGUUAAAUCCAUACGCUCAACGUAUGGGCUGCCGGGAAUACUGCAAAGCUAGGGAGUGGGAGAGGUAGACGGUACUCGGUAGGAAGGGGUAAAAUCCUUUGAUCUAUUGAUGACCACCUGUGGCGAAGGCGGUCUACCAGAACACGUCCGACGGUGAGGGAUGAAAGCUGGGGGAGCAAACCGGAUUAGAUACCCGGGUAGUCCCAGCUGUAAACUAUGCAAACUCAGUGAUGCAUUGGCUUGAUGCCAAUGCAGUGCUGCAGGGAAGCCGUUAAGUUUGCCGCCUGGGAAGUACGUACGCAAGUAUGAAACUUAAAGGAAUUGGCGGGGGAGCACCACAAGGGGUGAAGCCUGCGGUUC
rnacentral:rRNA from 1 species